CCCUCCCAGCCUGGGCAUAAGGGCGGUAACACAUUUUAAAUUAGACCUGUUCCUUUUCCAUUCAUGAGCUGUCAGACUGCUCACAAGGGGUCCAACCUGGCAUCCCAUCUGGGGCACAGUGAUGAGGGUGGCCAGACCCCAGGCCCAGGUGGGCACAUAUUCAUGAGUUGGGUCUGAGAAGGUUCUGAUCCACUUUAGAGUUGUCCUAGGGCAGGCGUGAUAGGGAAGAGGAAUUUCCAGUGCAGCACAAUUUGAAGCUUUUCUGAAGCUCUGGAAGAAGGCACGCCACUGAAGUCUGUUUUUCCCUUGUCAUCUUUAAUUCAUUACCUGGCACAAAGGAAAGCGGAGACAUAUUUCUGACGGGUUUUUUUAUUAGUCAUUACAGUGUGGUGAGUGUGUCAUCUUUCUGAGUGCUCACAUGCAAUGCCAUGUCACUGUGCAGCCUGGCUCCCAACGUGGCCCCUUGGUGUCCCAGUUUUCACUCCCUGAGGGCCAAGGACAUGCCCUUUCUGUUUGGAAAUGUCAACCUGGUCUCAUUGGCUUCCCUUCUUUCCCCAUUCUUCCAGAAAAGUAGACCUGGGAGGAAAGACUGGGUUUUCCAGCGCCUGCUGACUUUCUUGGAAAUGAUGGGCAUAGUGCCCAAUUUGCUAUUGCCCUAGUUUCCAAUGGCUACUUCUAAAGAGGAAAGCAAUCUUCUCCUUUCUUGCAGGCUGAAACAAGGAGGAGAUGAAGAGAUUUUCAUGAUCAAGAGCCACCCUUUCCAGCAAGAAUGACCACCAAUGGCUUCAUGGAAGAAGUGGCAUUUGGAGAAUAGUAUGAUUUUGACAGGUAGAGCUGGGAGAGGAGGACACUUCUGAAUGAGGAAGCAGCAUGUUCAAAGACCCACGGGCCACUUGGUUGCACAGGCUGAACCAUAUUCACCUCUAGGAAGCCAUUCAGUAACAGUGUGGAAUUGGCCACAUGGCAGCCCUGCUGGAAAGCACAGGGGGUUCUACUUGCCCAUCCGUGGGUUUGCAAAGCCUGACAGCCCUGCAGGAUUGGCUUGGUCUUGCUGUCCCUCUGGAAGCCCAAAUUCACAACAAUGAACUCGCUUUCUUUCCCUGGAUGAGCUGCUCCCAAGUUCAACACCUCAGUAAGUGCUCCAACAUCCUUCCUGCCACUCCAGCGGGAGCCUCCUCCCCUUCCCCACACCACCCCCAAGCACAAAGUGGAUGUCCCCGUCUCUACCAAUCCUACUUAGUCCUAGAUUCUCACGCCUUCUGCCCACCUCGCACUCCCAAGCCCUUACACAGAUGGUAUCCAAGAUGAGCACUUGAAGAUACAGGCCUGAUUAUCUCAUUCUAACCAACCAACUCUUGCAGAUCUUGAGAUUUUUAAAGCUUCUUUUUAGGCUUCCCUUUGCUAGCAGACUUUUCUCAGUCGGAUUCCAACCUGUCUUUUCAAGCCUCAGGUCCUAUAGCUCUCCACAGGCCUCCCACUAUACACAUACACACAUGUACACACAUGCACAUACAUACACACCAUAAUCCGGCCAUGCCAGUCUAGUUAUUCACAUGUGCAGCCCCUGACAGAGUGCUGAUAUUUG
rnacentral:lncRNA from 1 species